rnacentral:ncRNA from 12 species
CACUUAGCAUGGCGGCCCGGUCUCCAGUGGAGAGUGAAAAGGGAAUCCGGUGUGAAUCCGGAGCUGACGCGCAGCGGUAUGGGGAAGUCACGGCGAUAUAUUGACACUGUCAUUGUAGAUGGGAAGUCAUCGCCCGGUGUGCAUACAACAAUGAAUGUUGGUGCACAAAUCCUAAGCCCGAAGACCUGCCGGUACACGUCGCUUUACG